rnacentral:lncRNA from 1 species
UGAAGUGGGUUUGAAUACUCUUGACUGUUUUGUGAAAUCGAGUUACAUCUGUGAUUGAAGGAUUAAAAGGGCGUCUAUAGGAUUGAGUAUGCGGAGUGAAUGAAAUUUAUUGGGUUAAUCUAACAAGACAGUCAGUGGAUACAAGAUCGUAAGUACAAAGCAGUAUUGAAGAUUAACAGUUUGGGUUGUUCGGGGUUCUCUGUAACGUCUAGAGACCUACCGGCUGGGGCAAAAAGGACUUCGACAAGCAGUCGAAGACAAUCCGUAUAGAUUUAUGGUACAUUGUUGCAGUCUUUUAUAUUCCAGCAGUCAAAAUUGAUAGACUGCUUGACUAUCGACGAAUCUCCAUACUACCUUCUACAGCCAGAUGCACGGCGCUGUCGUGUUGUAACACGAGUAUACAGUGAAAAUAAAAAGAAAGGGGAAUUUUAUUAAUAUUCAGUUACCUCGAAUAUUGGGAGCAUCGACCAACUCCAGUACAAAUACUGAGUGGUCAGGUUCAGUGACUACGUUACAGUCAGCCGGGGCAUACUGAAAUGCCCCGUUCGAUUGCAAUAACGGGAGUCAGCAGGAAGAGAAGGACCAAUUCACACGACGGGUUCGAGGAGCCAAUUGGAUCCAAUUUCGAUAAUCCAAUCGGGGUCCUCUUACCCAAUAUGAGACCUGUAUUGGCCGGUCAACCCAGUGCAGUCUAGUUACGGGAAAUCUAGGUCUUACUACGGGUCUUAGCCAAUCUGACGCGAGGACCAAUUUGACCCAAUUACGGGAACAUUCAGGUUAUUACGGGCAUCUUUCCCAAUAUAGGACCUGAAUUGAACGGGCAACUCAAAGUGGUCUAAUUACGGGAACAUCCAGGUUCCUACGGGCAUCUUUCCCAAUAUAGGACCUAAAUUGGUCGUUUUCGGUAAAUGGAUUUCUUAAAGGUAAAUACGGAGGAGAAAGCUUGGCGGCGAGAGCCAAUUUCGGAUCUAAGCUUGUUCGGUAAAUGGAUUUCUUAAAGGUAAAAGCGGAGGAGAAAGCUUGGCGGCGAGAGCCAAUUUCAGAUCCAAACUUGAGUUGGGAGCCAAUUUCGGAUCCAAGCUUGAGGUGGGAGCCAUUUCCGGAUCUAAGACGGAAGAUUGAAGAAAUUCAGAGGAUAAGGUUAGGUGGGAUAUAGUUUUGGGGGGGGUUUUUCUUUGAGGGGAAAUCGGGGGGGGGGGAGCGAGUUUUCAAGCUUCUGCAAGGUUACUAGUUCGGUUUUUCAUUGGAGGUUUUUGAAGAUCAAGGGAAUUAGAGAGAGGAGCUUCAUUCUUCGGGUCGGGGAAGGAAAGACAUAGAAUUUGGAUUUUUCUUCUUCGUAGAGUUUUGGGGAAGACUGAGGCAAUCGCUGCUGAAGUCAGUGUUGUAAUGGUGAAUCGGGAUUUUAAAUGAAGUGGGUUUGAAUACUCUUGAUUGUUUUGUGAAAUCGAGUUACGUCUGUAAUUGAAGGAUUAAAAGGGUGUCUAUAGGAUUGAGUAUGCAGAGUGAAUGAAAUUUAUUGGGUUAAUCUAACAAGACAGUCAGUGGAUACCAGAUCGUAAGUACAAAGCAGUAUUGAAGGUUAACAGUUUGGGUUGUACAGGGUUCUCUGUAACGUCUAGAGACCUAUCGGCUGGGGCAAAAA